rnacentral:tRNA from 1 species
GCGGUUAUAGCUCAGAUAUUUGAGAGCGCGACAUGAAAAUGUCGAGGUCCCAAGUUCAAGUCUUGGUAACCGCACCA